rnacentral:rRNA from 1 species
UCCAGACUCCUACGGGAGGCAGCAGUGGGGAAUAUUGGGCAAUGGAGGAAACUCUGACCCAGCAACGCCGCGUGAAUGAUGAAGGUCUUCGGAUUGUAAAGUUCUUUUCUAAGGGAAGAAGAAAGUGACGGUACCUUAGGAAUAAGCCUCGGCUAACUACGUGCCAGCAGCCGCGGUAAUACGUAGGGGGCAAGCGUUAUCCGGAUUUACUGGGUGUAAAGGGAGCGUAGACGGCAGCGCAAGUCUGGAGUGAAAUGCCGGGGCUCAACCCCGGAACUGCUUUGGAAACUGUGCAGCUAGAGUGCGGGAGAGGUAAGCGGAAUUCCUAGUGUAGCGGUGAAAUGCGUAGAUAUUAGGAGGAACACCAGUGGCGAAGGCGGCUUGCUGGACCGUAACUGACGUUGAGGCUCGAAAGCGUGGGGAGCAAACAGGAUUAGAUACCCGAGUA